rnacentral:rRNA from 1 species
GCGGAGUGUGCCUUUGAUACUGACGUACUCACCGCGGCGGGCUGAUCCCCGAAUGUGAUGUGUCCGACUUAAUGUGGGCGGGUUUCACAGAACGCCCAUCGUGAAACCAGGUUACGAACUUAAUACUGACGCUCAGGCACGAAAGCGUGGGGAUCAAACAGGAUUAGAUACCCUGGUAGUCCACGCUGUAAACGAUGAUCACUCGUUGUUGGUUCCCAAUAAUCAUUGGCCAAGCGAAAGGCAUAAUUGAUCCACCUGGGGAGUACGAUCGCAAGGUUGAAACUCAAAGGAAUUGACUGGGUCCCGCACAAACGGAGGAGCAUGUGGUUUAAUUCUAUGAUACACCAGGAACCUUACGCGGGCUUGCCCGUAAAACGAAUAUAUGGUAAACCAUAUAUCCUACGGUCGUCUUGCUUGGUGCUGCAUGGUUGUCUUCAUCUCAUGCCGUGAGGUGUUCCGUUAAGUCCUGCGACCAGCGUAAC